ensembl:lncRNA
ACUACUGAAAAAAAAACUGCAUAAUUUCCCAUCAUGCUUUCAGAUACUAAGAGUGUACAGAGAAAAGUUUUCUAUGAUUAACAGACAAGGUUUUCCUUAUAAGGCUAACUGUGCUUUACAAAAAAACUCCAGGCAAGUAUUAAUACUGCUUGGAAUUUCUUGCUUUACUUCCCCCCCCCACCCCCCCAUAACAAUAAGCAAAGUUACUCCUACUGCAGAAAAAAAUGAAAAAAACAUUUUACAGAACUGCUAAAAUUCUGUAGAGGCUUACAUUUACUAGUGCUAAGCUAACAGCGUAUAUGGCUCAAGCUAAAUUCUGUAGCAGGAGAUCACUUAAAAAAAAUGACUACCCACACCAAGGCCUAUAUAAGCUUCCCAUCUACUUGAGGCUAUUUUAAUAGACUCAUCAUCUGAACACAUCUGCAGAAAAUACCUACUCUGGUAUUUUUAAAUGGCAUCUCCACAGAUUUUUUUUUUUUUAAACAACUCAUUUUAGCUGCCUAACCAUCCCACUCCAGUCAACCUUUACAGAAACAAGAGUGACAGGGCUCAGUUUAUUUCAAUGAAACCAGAUGAACUUAGCAGCAGCAAUAUUUCUCUCAUUACCACUGUCUGUCAACCAAUUUAUGUCUCAACUUCAAUGAAACUAAAAUACACAGAACUAACAAUUACUUCUUAGGAGUUAUUCAAGUGAAGAAAAAAUAAUUUACAACAAGCUUGAUGUACAAGGAUCACUAUACAGACAACAGAAAUCUACCAAUCCACUAAGCUGAGUGUAGUUGACACAACAGGAGGGAGAGACAAUUCAGAGGGACCUGGGACACACUCAGAAAGUCCAAACACAAGAAUCUAAUGAGGUUUAACAAGGACAAGUGAAAGGUGUUGUACAUGGGUCAAGACAAUCCCAGAUUAGUACAGACUGGGAGAACUCAGUGAGAGCAGCCCUGUGAAGGACUUGGGGGUCCUCAUGGACAAAAAGCCAGACAUGACCCCGCAGUGCAUCCCCAACAGAGGGGUGGCCAGCACACUGAGGUAGGGCCUUGUCCUCCUCUACUCUGCCCUCAUAAAGCAGAGUUUAAGGCUGUUACAGUUUGAGACUGGGGCCCCUGGCACAAGACAAAGGUGCUGGAAUGAGUCCAGGAGGGUUACAAAGAUGAUCAAAGGGCUGUAGGACCUCUGUAAGGAUAGGCUGAGGAAAGUGGGCUUGGAGAAGGCUCCAGGAAGACCUCAUUGCAGCCUUCCAGUACUUCAAGGGAGCUUACAAGCACUUACAGUCUGACAGCAAUAAGGAAACGAAGAAUAGUUUUCAACAAGAGGGGAGAUCGAGGUUAGAUGUCAGGAAGAAAUUUUUUACUCAUAUGGUGGUGAGGCACUCAGACAGGUUGCCCAAGGAGGUUGUGGAUACCCCAGCCCUGUAAUUGGGAUGAGUGCCCCAGGUAAUCUAAUCCAGUGGUUGGCAACACUGCCCAUGGUGGGGGGGUGGAACUAUAUGAUCUUCAAAGUCUCCUCCAACCAAAGCCAAUCUACGAUUCAAUAGCAACACAUUAGAAUGAGUACUCAGUACAUCCACUUUUUUUAAAAAGCAUUUAAUAAGCCUCUGAUUGUACAAAUUUUACAAUUAGUGAGAUGAAGCUGUAUUGAAAGCAUUCAGAAGAUGGUUAUUAGAGUUUACACAGGCAUUACUGUAACUGCCCCUGACAAAGCACAGCUUGCCAUUAUGUUUAAAAUGGUGUAUGGCAGUUGUAUAAAGGCGCAAUAAAUAAUUUCACUUGUGUACAGAAAAAUACUUGUAGAUGAGUACAAAUUGUCAGUGUUUUUUUCCCCCCUCCCUCUUUUUUGUCAUUGUUCUCUCCAGUCAGGCUGGGCAAUUAAGAAUUAAAUGAUGGGAACAGGAAUACUUCUGUCAUUUGAUUUUUUACAUAAAGGUUUUAAAAAAAAAGCUAUGUAGGUACUCUCCAACCAAUCUAAUGGGACAACUCAAAAUUCCAUGGAAUAAAAACUGCUUUUAUAAGCACUCACUUUUAAGACGUUUCAUUGUCAAAUCUAAGAUGUAUACUUCAAAACAUACUGCUCACAUGACAAUAUAAACGUAAUCACAUACUAAAACACUUGUUGUAUUUCAACUUGUGCUAGAAAGUAGCCAGCUUUUUCAUUCAAAAAGGAGCUAAACCUGCUAUCACCAGCAGAUUACUACAGGAACUUACUGAAGAGAAAUCAUGACAUGAGAAACUUGCCCUCUUUACCUGACCUCACCAAGAAGAAGCUUCCUCUAAAUCUGCAGAACUGAAGAAAAUUUUAAGGUUUGGGAAAGGGUAUUUUGGAUAAGGAACCUGUCUGAGGACUUUGGGAGUAGCAGAAGAAAAAGGGCACAAAGGUAAAUCUGAGGCUGCUUGGAUACAUCAGAAAGAAAUUUAAAAGAAAUGACAACAUUUUGCUAGACAUGGGAAUAAGAGAAAUUCUGCUUUAAUUUAAGAACAGCAAGUGCAGCACUGACCCAAAUAUUCUUAAUUCUACCACACAGGUGUUUUAGAGGACUAUAGAGUUUGUCAGCUGUAACCAACAAAUAAAAUACCUGUUGGAAUUUACAGCACUAUUACUUAGAAAGCCCACUUCAGAAAAUAAAUCCAUUGAUGUUUGAGCUACAAGUGUAGUUCACUAGCACAUGGUUCAUCCAAAGACAGUGUCAAAUGCUCCACUUGCAGAUUUUACAUUUAUACUUCCUUAAGAAGCAAGAUAUUGAAUCAGUCCCCAGCCUUUUGAAACAGUUGUAUGGGUGAGCUCUUCACAUAGCUCCAGAGAUAUUCUAUUUUUAUUGCUAUGCAUCAUAUGCUAUGUGAAUUACUCCAAAGCUUGCAAGACAACCAGUGUUACGCUCACCACAAAUGCAGAUGCCUCACAAGAUGCAGACACCUAACUAGCAUUAAAGAUGCCAUAGCUGAGGCAUAAUAAGACCCUGUCUGUAACCAUCUUUACUACUCCUGAACUUAACCAAAUCUGGAUAAGGAACCAUAAUUAAAAGUGUGCUCUUACACUACUAAUUAGAACAUCUAGUUUUGAUAAUAGUAAAAAUUAAAAAAAAACAGUACAGAAGAAAGCUAUUAAUUCAUGUAAUCUGAAUUUAAGAAACAAGCUCAGAGACUUUGUUUCUUAGGACCCAUUUCAUCCCAACAAAGUAAUGGAGAAGAAACUGUAAAUACGCAUUUCAGCCCAGUUUAAUAGAAGACUUGUAACUUUUUCUUAAAAGAAACAAACCAGAACAAAUGAAACUCCCUCCCUCCACACACACUCAAGGACUUCAGUAAAUAAUUAUUAUCAGCAACAAAUCUGGUACAUACAAACAAUUCAGAUACAGAAAAUGAACAUCUAGUUACACCAAAAAUUACAUUACAUUUUUUCCAAGGAGAAACUUAAGGUUUUUAGGUUUCCUACAUCAAUGAGGAGGUAGAAAUUCCUCAAAACUAUGAAGUGUUUCAGCCUCUAUCCCCACCAACCUCAACAGGCCGGGACAAGUGCAAUACCACAGAAACGCACAGCAUUGCAACUGAUCCCAACCUGUGUAGAAAGGGGUACAAGUUUUCCACAUUUACUGACUGACUUGUCACUGCCACAGUCAGUUUUGCAUGGAUUUGCACAGCAGAGUAUCAUACAGCUGGAUGCAAACCUGCAAAACUAACCAGAGAACAGUGUUCAAUUUAACAACAAAUUGCAAAACAUGCUGAAUAUGUAGUUCUACAGCUAGC